rnacentral:rRNA from 1 species
GACGAAGGUGGCAAGCGUUGUUCGGAUUCACUGGGCAUAAAGGGCGCGUAGGCGGUUCCGAAAGUGGCAUGUGAAAUCCUCUGGCUCAACCAGAGAAGUGCGUGCCAAACUUCGGUUCUAGAGGAUGGUAGGGGGGACUGGAACUCUCGGUGGAGCGGUGAAAUGCGUAGAUAUCGAGAGGAACACCGGUGGCGAAGGCGAGUCCCUGGUCCAUCACUGACGCUGAGGCGCGAAAGCGUGGGUAGCAAACAGG